GGAGUUUGGUCCGUGUCUCAGUACUAAUGUGGGGGACCUUCCUCUCAGAACCCCUACUGAUCGUCGGCUAGGUGGGCCGUUACCCCGCCUACUACCUAAUCAGACGCAUCCCCAUCCCAUAGCGAUAAAUCUUUGGUAUUACUCAGAUGUCCUCAUAAUACAACAUAGGGUAUUAAUCCGACUUUCGCCGGGCUAUCCCCUAGUAUAGGGAAGGUUGGAUACGCGUUACUCACCCGUGCGCCGGUCGCCAUCGGAGUCAGCAAGCUGACUCCAUGCUGCCCCUCGACUUGCAUGUGUUAAGCCUGUAGCUAGCGUUCAUC
rnacentral:rRNA from 1 species